rnacentral:lncRNA from 1 species
UUUGAUCUAGUAGUUUAAAAGUCUUAGUGUUUUACUCUUUAGUUUUGCUUUGUGUCACCCCCGAUGUAUUCUUGCUCGUGAGCCAUAUAAUAAAAAGUUUCUUAGUUGAAGGGCUUUGCCUCUUGCCAUGAUCAAAAGAGUGAGAAUAGAACAAAAGCAUGAAAGAUCAUGUAAUUAUCUUAUGGGAAGUGAUGGAUUCACAUAUAAAAAGAAUGAGGAUUGAAACUUGUUGAGGGUAGGCAAACGUAGACCAUGGUCAUGGUUGCAAUUAUUAGGAAGUGAUAAAGAAGGAGAGGUUCACAUAUAAAUAUAUCAUCUCUGACACCAUCUAUGAUUGUGAACACUCACCAAACUAUUGCAUGCCUAGAAGUAGAUGUUGGACAAGGAAGACAACAUAAUGAAUUGUGUUUGCUUGGCUCUAAACAAUGUUAUAUGAUUAGAGAGCCCUUAGCAUGCGACGAUUGCUUCCACCUCAUAUUAGCCAAAACCUCCCACACCAAGUAGAGAUACUACUUGUGCAUCCAUAAACCUUCAAACCAGUUUUUCCAUGAGAGUCCACCAUACCUACCUAUGGAUUGAAUAAGAUCCCUCAAGUAAGUUGUCAUCGGUGCAAGCAACAAAAAUUGCUCUCUAAUAUGUAUGAUCUAUUGGUGUGUGGAAAAUAAGCUUUGUACAAACCUGUGAUGAGGAAGACAUAAAAGCGACAGACUGCAUAAUAAAGUUCUUUAUCACAGGAGGCAAUAUAAAGUGACGUUCCUCCGCACUAAGAGGACACGCAUCCAAACCUCAAAAGCACAUGACAACCUCUGCUUGCCUGUGCGAAGGGCCUAUCUUGUACCUUUACUUUUUGUCCCUGAAAGAGUCAUGAUGAUCUUCACCAAUUCCUUAUUUUGCCUUUGUCUUGGCUACCGUCACAUGCUUGGAGGUAGGCAUUCAUGAAUUAUUAUUGUUGGAGGUAGGCCUUUGUCCUAAUGGAAAGAUCUAUAUUCAUAUGUCAACUUGGAGGUAGGCAUUCAUGAAUUAUUAUUGUUGACGUUACCCUUGAGGUAAGCAGUUGGGAGGAAAAACUGUAAAGCCCCUAUCUUUCUCUGUGUCUAGCUGAAACUUUGAUCUCAUGAGUACCACGUGAGUUGUAGCAAUUGUAGAGAACGAAAGAAUGAUUGAGUAUGUGGAUUUACUUUACAAUCUCUUAUUUGACUCUUUGUGAUGUUGUGAUAAGUUGUAAUUGCUUCAAUGACUAAAGGCUAACGGUUGUUACUUCUCGGUAUGGUUCUUGAUCCGUGCUUUACUUUGUGAAGGAAUUGUCACUUUAGCAUGAGAGAUUAUAUGUUGGUAUUGCUGUUCUGAUCUAGAUCAUGAUGCAUGCAUGUUCGUAUCUUGUUUUCUUGACACCUCUCUCCCUAAACAUGUGGACAUAUUUAUUGAGCUCGGCUUUCGCUUGAGGACAAGCCAGGUCUAAGCUUGGGGGAGUCGAUACAUCCAUUUUGCAUCAUGUUUUCAUGUUGUUAUUUAUCGCUUCUUUGGCUGUUAUUUCACUUCACGGUACUAUUCUUAUGCCUUUUCUCUCUUAUUUUGCAAGGUUUACAUGAAGAGGGAGAAUACCGGCAACUGGAGUUCUGGCCUGAAAGUGGAGCAAAGUUGAGAUACCUAUUCUGCGCAACUCCAAACGCCGUGAAAAUCAACGAAGAUUUUUUCCCAAUUUAUCAAAAAUACUGGGCCGAAGAAGUGCCAGAGGGGCACCAGGGGGUGCCCACAAGCGUGCAUGGCGCGGCCACCCCCCCCCCCAGGCCACGCCAUGGGGGCUUGUGGGCAGCCCACUAGCCCACUGCCCCCUCUUUUGCUAUAUGGAGGGUUUUGUCGAGGAAAAAAUCAGGAGGGAGCUUUUUCGUGGUUUCGCCGCCGCCACGAGUCGGAACUUGAGCAGAACCAAUCUAGAGCUCCGGCAGGACGAUCCUGCCGGGGAAACUUCACUCCCGAAGGGGGAAAUCGUCGCCAUCGUCAUCACCAACACUCCUCUCAUCGGAGGGGACUCAUAUCCAUCAACAUCUUCAUCCACACCAUCUCAUCUCCAAACCCUAGUUCAUCACUUGUAACCAAUCUCCGUCUCGCGACCCCGACUGGUACUUGUAAGGUUGCUAGUAGUGUUGAUUACUCUUUGUAGUUGAUGCUAGUUGGAUUAUUUGGUCGAAGAGAUUAUGUUCAGAUCCUUGAUGCUACUCAUUACCUCCCUGAUCAUGAUUAUGAUUAUGCUUUGUGAGUAGUUACUUUUGUUCCUGAGGACAUUGGAUAAGUCAUGCUAAUAGUAGUCAUGUGAAUUUGGUAUUCGUUCGGUAUUUUGAUAUGUUGUAUGUUGUUUUUCCUCUAGUGAUUAUAUGUGAACGUCGACUACAUAACACUUUACCAUUAUUUGGGCCUAGAGGAAGGCAUUGGGAAGUAGUAUGUAGAUGAUGGAUUGCUAGAGUGACAGAAGCUUAAACCCGGAGUGACAAUAGCCGGAACCACUCCCGGAGAUGACCAUAGUAUGAGGAGUUCAUGUAUUCACUAAGUGCUAAUGAUUUGUUCCGGUUCUCUAUUAAAAGGAGACCCUUAAUAUCCCUUAGUUUCCAUUAGGACCCCGCUGCCAUGGGAGGGAUGGACAAUAGAUGGCAUGCAAGUUCUUUUCCAUAAGCACAUAUGACUAUAUACGGAAUGCAUGCCUACAUUACAUUGACGAACUGGAGCUAGUUACAUAUCUCCCCAUGUUAUCACUAUUACAUGAUGAAUGUCAUCCGACAUAAUUAUCCAUCACCGACACAAUGCCUACGAGCUUUUCCUACUGGUCCUUGCUACGUUACUGUUACCGCUACUGCUGUCACUGUUGCUACUGUUACCGCUACUACUGGCACUACUGUUACUGUUACCGAUGCUACCGUUACUAUCACACUACUUUUCUACUGAAACUUUGUUGCAGAUACUAAGUCUUUCAGGUGUGGUUCAAUUGACAACUCAACUGCUAAUACUCGAGAAUAUUCUUUGGCUUCCCCUUGUGUCGAAUCAACAAAUUUGGGUUGAAUACUUUACCCUCAAAAACUAUUGCGACCCCCUAUACUUGUGGGUUAUCAGUCAUCAACCCUUACUUGUUAGAGGUGAUGAAGCACCCUCAAGCAAUUCAGAUACGUGAGGGGGUGCUCCACAUCCAGGAUGUUCAUGGGCCCAAGAAGAGGGGAACCAUGGAGGCCAGGCUUGAGGCGGUGGAGGAGGAGAUCUUUAGGUGUCAAGGCAUGGUGGAGCGUGGACUCAGUGCCAAUUACUCCAUGAUCACAUAAUUCACCCAUGAUCAAAAGGUGGAUGGACGGUCCUUGAAGGAUAGCAUAUUCUCCCUCAACGAGCAAAUCAAUUUUUUGCACUAACAAAUCUUCGAUCUUCAAAACCAAAUAUUUGAGUACGAAGCAAGAUUUAAAUGUAUGGGUUUAUGUGCCAAUUGCAGUACUCUGGAGACUCAUGCUUCCUCUUAUGACAGUGAGCCACUUCCAUGGAAAUCGGGGGACAUGUUUGCUUCUACCUCAUCAUCUACACCACCACCUUCAUCUUCCUCACCAAACAAGGAGACUUGAGCACACGGGUAUGGGCACUCCCCUUGGAUUGUGCCAAGUCUGGGUGAGGUGCCCCAUUAUCGUAUCACCAUCACUCUUAGUAUCUUUAUCCAUCUUAGUUCGAUCUUUAGUUAUUUUGUGAUUUAGUGAAAUAAAAGUUUAGUUCGAUCCAUCUUUUUAAGUGUUGGUUUCGUGAUCUAUCUAUCUAUGUAAUUGAGUGAGGCUUAUAUAAUAAAGUUUAGUUUGAGUCUUUGCUUCUUUACGUUCUUGUUGCAAUGAAAAUAAAGGAAAAUAAUGAACAAAAUCAUAUGCUAAUAUUAUAGUAAGUAGUGACACCACAUAAGAAGAAGUAUAAGCGGUAAAAUUUGUUGAAGGUUGACAAACACAUCACUAGUCUCUGAUGCAACACAUGAAAGAAUUAAUAAGGGAAGAGAAGAUUUACAUGCAAAAACACUAUCCUUGACAUGUUUUAUGAUUGUGAGACCCCAUUAGUUAUAGUAUGCCAAAACUGUUGGUGUUGCACAAGGAAGAGAAUGUAAUGAUUUAUGCUUGUUCACAUUCACGUGGAAGUUAUAUUGUUAUAGAUCCUCUAACAUGUGGCGCUUUCCCAAUAUCUUUGCUAGCCAAAACUCCGCAUUAAGUAGAGAUACUACUUAUGCAUCCAAAACCUUAAACCCAAAUCCAUGUUUUAAGAGUGCACCAUACCUACAUAUGGAUUGAGUAAGAUUCUUCAAGUAAGUUGUCAUCGGUGCACAAGGCAAUAAAAAUUGCUUCUAAACAUGUUCGAACAUUUAGUGUAAGGGAAGUUAAGAGUUGUAUGAACUUGUGAUGGCGAUAAUAAAAGCGAUAAACAACAUAAUAAAGGUUGCUAUCAUAAGGGGCAAUAUAACAUAACAUUCCUUUGUACUAAGGGAUUUGUCAUACAACCAAAAAGCACAUGACAACCUAUGCUUCCCUCUACGAAGGGCAAAUCUUUUACUUUUACAUAUUUACUUUUAUUCAAGAAUCAAAGUAUUCUUCUCUACUCAUUUUUAUUUGCUCUUUUGCAAGCAUCAUGUGGUGGGGAAAGAUCUAGGCAUAUAUAUCCAGUUGAAUGUGGGUGGUCAUAAAUUAUUAUUGUUGACAUCACCCUUGAGGUGAAUACGUUCGGAGACGACACUUUAAGCCCCUAUAUUUCUAUGUGUCUGAUUGAAAGCUUUUGCUCAUAUGUAUGUGGUGGGUGUUAGCAAUUAUACAAGAGUAAAUGAUGGUUGAGUUUGUAGACUUGCUUACAAGCUCCGAUAUGUGACCCUUCCUGAAAAUGUGAUGAAUUGUGUUGAAAAGUUGACUGAAAACAUACUUUCUUAGUUUUCCGUAGGGUUUAUGCUUCAUACUUCGAUGUUGUGAUGAAUUGUUACUUGUUUAUGAGAAGUUUUUAUGAUGAAAAUUAUGUGAUAAAGUAUAUGAUGAAGUUUAUUUUCGGUUAUAAUAAUGAGAAUAAUGCUACUGUGUUUGUAUUUUGUUUUUAUUGACACCUCUCUCUCAAAGCAUGUGGUCAUGAUUUUGGUUAUCGGCUUUUGCUUGAGGACAAGCGAGGUCUAAUCUUAGGGGAAUUGGUACGUCCAUUUUUCAUCAUGAUUUUCUACUUUUAUUUAUAGUGUUUGUAUGCAUUAUACCACUUUAUGGAGAAAUUCUAAUGCCUUUUAUCUCAUAAUAUGCAAGGUUUACACCAUGAGGGAGAACGCAAGCAGAUGGAAUUCUGGACCUGAAAAAACUACAUGAGAAAUACCUAUUCUGCACAUAUCCAAAUGGGCAAAAUAUUCAGAGGGAUAUUUUACAGAAUAAAUAAAAAAUACUUGAAGAAAGAAGUACCAGAGGGGGGCUGCUAGGUGGCCACUCGGCACUAGGGUGCGCCACCCCCCCCCCCCCCGGCAUGCCCUGGUGGGUAGUGGUCCACCUGACCAUCUUCUGGUAUAUAUUCACGUUUGACCUAGAAAAAAAUAAGGAGCGGACUUUCGGGAGGGAGUGCCACCGUCUUGAGGCGGAACUUGGGCUGGAGCACUUUUCCCCUCCGGCGGAGCGAUUACGUCGGGAAACUUCCCUCCCAAAGGGUGAAAUCGAGGGCACCGUCAUCACCAACAACCCUCUCACCUUGGGGAGUCCAAUCUUCAUCAACAUAUUCAACAACACCAUCUCCUCUCAAAACCUAGUUCAUCUCUUCUGUUCAAUCUUGUACCGGAACCUCAGAUUGGUACGUGGGGAUUACUAGUAGUGUUGAUUACAUCUUGUUGUUAAUGCUUUGUAGUUUAUUUGGUGGAAUAUCAUAUGUUCAGACCCAAUAUUCUAUUUAAUACCCCUCUAAUCAUGAGCAUGUUCAUCACUUGUGAGUGGUUACUUUUGUUCUUGAGGCCACAGGAGAAGUCAUCUUGCAAGUAGUCAUGUGAAGUUGAUAUUCGUUCAAUAUUUUGAUGGUAUGAAUGUUGUGAUUCCCUUCAUGGAAUUAUGUGAACAUCGACUACAUAAUACUUUACCAUCUUUGGGCCUAAAGGAAUGCAUUGUGGAGUAGUUAUUUGAUGAUGGGUUGCGGAGUGACAGAAACUUAAAUCCAAGUUUAUGCGCUACUCCGUAAGGGGCUGAUUUGGAUCUGUAUGUUUAAUCAUAUGGUUAGAAUAUAUUCUUAAUACUUUUCUCAUAGUUGCAAAUGCUUGCGGGCGGGUUAAUCAUAAGUAGGGAGCUUGUUCAAGUAAGAAUAGAACCCAAGCACCGUUUCGCCCACAUAUCAAAUUAUCAAAGUACCAAACGCGAAUUAAACCGACAUGACGAAAGUCACUAUAUGAAAUUCCCGUGUGCCCUCAAGAAUGCUUUGCCUAUUAUAAGAAACUAUUCCAGUUUGUCCUUUGCCAAAAAAGGAUUGGCUACCUUUCUGCACUUAUCAUUACUAUUGCUACUCGUUGCUUGUUACAAUUAUCUUCCUAUCAAGCAACUUGUUACCUCUAUUUCAAUGCUUGCGAAAUUACCUUGUUGAAAACCGCUUGUCAUUUCCUUCUUUUCCUUGUUGGGUUUGACACAAUUACUUAUCUAAACGACUACGACCGAUCUUCUAUACUUGUGGUCAUUAGGUACCUGUACCUGUGGUGUUGUAGUAAUUUGUGAGCCACGGGGAGUCAACAAUCUUGCGACCAUGAUAUCAAGACUAAUUAAGUUAUUGGGUGCGGCAUGGUUAAGUGGUGAGGUUGGAGCAACACUAAGCAAUAUUUGGUGGAUAUCUUACGAGAACAUAAUUUAAAUUGGGCAGUUUACGAAUAAACAGGCGUGAGAUGAAAAUGAUCUAGAGGUGAUCCUGAACACCUACUUACGUCAGACAUAACCCCAUCGUGUCCUGAGUCGGAGUAGAAACUAACGAGCACAGACAAUCAUAGUUACGCACAUAGUUGGCAGGUUUUAAUUGAGUUUACUUCAAUUUUUCUAUAACUAGAUGUUAAACAAAUUUCCAAGUUGCCACAUAACCGCAUGCAUGGCUUUCAGAAAGAUAUUAACCCUGUAGGGAUGCUCCAACUAGUCCAUCACAAACUAUCACAAGCUGCUCUGGAGAGAAAACCUCAACCUCAAGGUAGCCCAACGUAUCACCGAUAUCCGAGUGGACAAGACAUUAAUAAAGAGUAAAAAAAUUCCAGCAAGACCGCCCAGUAGGCUAGAUCCCAAUAGGACCCACACGUAUCUCUUUCUCACGGCACUACCAGAUGAGCUAGACGUCGAUUUGGCUGAAACCCCCGGUGACUAGGAGCCGCUGAACAUCGCUUGGUUUGGACCAAUACUCAUGAGGAGCACUCGCCCGGGUUCUUGAUUAAGAUCCAUGGGGUAGCUAUUCCCUAUGCAUUUUUAUUAAGUUCUUUAGCAAAUUUAAUAUCAAUGUUUGGCUUUGCCGGAAGAGUCUUAACUCAAAAUGAAUUAUCAAGGGGGUCCUCAUGACAACCCCAACUGUUUUAAGAGCACUCAAUAUGGAACAUGACACAAGUAACCGGAAACUAGGGCGGCAAAAGAGGAACAAAACACCGAGAAAAAGGCCAAUCCUUCCGCCUUCACAAGGUAUAUAUGUGCACUAAUUUAAAUAGAAAUAAUAAGAUGAUAUUCCAAAUUUCCAUGUCAACACAUGUAUUAACCUGUACCUGCAACUAGCAACGCUAUAAGAAGGUUUGAGAAAGCGCUAACUUAGCUAAUUAACGUUUGCUAGGAUGUGGAGGGGUUAGAGGCUUUUCAAGGCAAUGUUUGGAAGCUUGAUAUUCAGGUGGUAGGCAGAAAUAAAUAGCUAUGGAAAUGAGAAAGCUAAUCAUAAAAAAUUAUAAACGAUAUCAAGGUCACGAUCAUCUUGCCUAGCACUUCUUCUGAGGGAUAAAAGUCUAGCUCUUCAGGAACGUUCUCAACGGGAUACCCGUACUCGUUCUCUGCACUUGAUAGUACCAAAAAUAAAAUACAACAUCCAAUGAACACACAACAAGGCACAAUUCUUCAGACAAUAUGAUACAUGAGUAUGGUAUGAAUGAAGCAGGGCAAUGCUACACUAGUCAUCUUUCUCAUGCAAUUAUUUAGUUAUUACCAUUCUGUAUAGAACCUCAAGAGUAAUUAUUUCGACAUGCAUGACAUGGAAAAAAUAAAUGCAUAAUGAUAAAAUUAUACAAAUGCAUAUAAAGAACGUCACAAACCGAGUUACAGAUCUCUCGAAACUCUCACGACAAGAUACAGAAGGCAAUGAUGAUAAAAACAGAAUUUGAGAGCGGAUAUGGGAAAUUCCUUAGCAUUCCAAGUGUUCCACAGGAUUGGGAACGAAAUUAUUGGUUAAGUAGACCUAAAUUUAAUUCCAAACAAAGGAGCACAACUAAAACAAAGCACGAAACAAUCCAACAAGCAAUAUGUCCACAAACAGCAACAUACCACUUUGUUCAGAUGAAAACGAAUAGCUACAGCGCCCAUCAAGUUCAACCCAAACAUGGAUAUGAAGCUAAAAAAGAGUACAACAACCCCUAACUAAAAUCAACAUGGAUAUGUUCAUGAACCAAUGGCAAUCAAGAUCCUAAUAUGGCAACAAUUAUAACAAAUUAGGACUUGGUGAAAAUUUCAGUUUUAUACUAGCAGUUUUAUCAUGAUGGCAUGUUGAUAGCAAUAAAACUCUAUUCUACAGUAAGUUUCAUAGCAUGAAAUUUGACAGGCUCGUAGAGGACAACAAUCACUAAAAUUCACUCCCACUAACCAUGAGCCAAAACUGAACAAAAACAAUGGUAGCCUCCUCUAAACAUGGCAUGAUGAUAUAAGCAGAUUCUCAAACUUAGUCAAAUUUCACAGGGUGAAUUCACAGCAGUUUACAACAACACGGCAUGUUUGACAGCAACAAUAGCUAAGAUGCAAGGCCUAUUUUUCAAAGUAAUGACUCCAUUUAAUAGAGGGCAACAUGCUAUUUAAUUCACACCACAAUUCCAACACAAAGAACUAGUAUAUGCUUGGCAAUCGUCAUGCCAACACAACUAUUUGAAAUAGUUUUCACACUUAGUCAUCUUUCAACAUACCCAAGCAACAAUAUUGAGAUGGCAUGUUUCGAGCAAGAAAGCUACAAAUAUACAGGGUUUUCAAGGCGAAUAAAAAUACCAGGGCCUAGCACUCCCAAAAUACUACAACUUUCAUUUGACAAGUUUGGCAAAGGGUGCAAGGCUUGCUCCACAAAAAAAAAAUAGGCAUCAUGGUGUCAAAUAGCAUGCACAUCAACUUGCUAAAAAGACAAAACUAAUGUCAUCAUUGGAUUCCUUGGACUUUUCUACCCCAAAAUUACAUAUCAUAAGCAUAUGCUCCUGUAGACAAAUCACCCACAAACUACAACUCAAAAUGCAAUUAACUAGGUAUAACCUAGUAUAUGCCAAAUUAGCAUAUGCUCAAAAUGGACAUGGAUAGAUUUGGAACUUGCCCUAUAAACAAAAAUAAUCCCGCGGGGGGCACCAGUGAUAGUGACACCAAGGCCCCCUAGCUGAAUGACAGGUGGGCCAUAGCGCUCUCGUCAGCUAUUCCAUUUAACACUGAGAGAAAAGAAUGGGGGCUUGGGAGGAUACGAAUCAGAGACAUCGUGGUGGAGCACUACACCUGCUACCACUGGGCUACGCUACGGCGUCGGAUCUAAUCGGUUUCUCGCUUCUUAGAUCAAGCAAAAUGACGGCCACUCUAGCGACCAACAGCCCAGGAGAACGAGGGGGGGGGGGAGCUCAUUNNNNNNNNNNNNNNNNNNNNNNNNNNNNNNNNNNNNNNNNNNNNNNNNNNNNNNNNNNNNNNNNNNNNNNNNNNNNNNNNNNNNNNNNNNNNNNNNNNNNNNNNNNNNNNNNNNNNNNNNNNNNNNNNNNNNNNNNNNNNNNNNNNNNNNNNNNNNNNNNNNNNNNNNNNNNNNNNNNNNNNNNNNNNNNNNNNNNNNNNNNNNNNNNNNNNNNNNNNNNNNNNNNNNNNNNNNNNNNNNNNNNNNNNNNNNNNNNNNNNNNNNNNNNNNNNNNNNNNNNNNNNNNNNNNNNNNNNNNNNNNNNNNNNNNNNNNNNNNNNNNNNNNNNNNNNNGGGGGGGGGGAGCUCAUUCGCUAUGCCGAGGGAAGGUUGCGGGGCGAAGGGGCUCGCUUCAAGCUCGAGGAGGAUCUCUACUCAGCCAUUGCAUGGCGGGGCUGAAGACGAAGCAAGGCGAUGGCGAGCGCUCGCGGAUGCGGCGGGGCGACGCAUAUUUCCACACGCGAGCUGCGGAAAACUACUAAAGCAUGCGCGAGGAAGGGGACGCGAAAUAAACCAAAACCCCUCUUUGAAGAACUCCAUCAGAGAAGCGCCGAGGCGCGGGGUGCAAAGUGACGGCGAGGCCUACAUGGGAGGACACACGCCUGGAUCUGGGAAAAAGCGAGGGGAAUGGGACAGCGGCUACCUCCACUACCUGCUGACGCUCGGAUCUGGCCCGGGUUGCUGCACGACGACGGUGAUGUGUUGUGAAUCCUUGUCGGGAUUCUGCUCCAUGAAACAGAGGACGACGAUGACCAUGCUGCAGGGCUUGGGUCCUAGUGGCGCAUGCGGGGAUGAAGAAAAAGCUGGGACGAGAGAGGUACCAUAC